CCUACGGGUGGCAGCAGUGAGGAAUAUUGGUCAAUGGGCGGGAGCCUGAACCAGCCAAGUCGCGUGAGGGAAGACGGUCCUAUGGAUUGUAAACCUCUUUAGGCGGGGAGCAAUGCCGGGCACGCGUGCCCGGAGGGAGAGUACCCGCAGAAUAAGCAUCGGCUAACUCCGUGCCAGCAGCCGCGGUAAUACGGAGGAUGCGAGCGUUAUCCGGAUUUAUUGGGUUUAAAGGGUGCGCAGGCGGAGGCACAAGUCAGCGGUAAAAUCGCGGGGCUCAACCCCGCUCCGCCGUUGAAACUGUGUCCGUUGAGUGCGCGAAGGGUAGGCGGAAUGCGUGGUGUAGCGGUGAAAUGCAUAGAUAUCACGCAGAACUCCGAUCGCGAAGGCAGCCUACCGGCGCGCAACUGACGCUCAUGCACGAAAGCGUGGGUAUCGAACAGGAUUAGAUACCCUAGUAGUC
rnacentral:rRNA from 1 species